rnacentral:rRNA from 1 species
AUGGAAGCCAUUUUCUUGGCACGACAACUUAUGGAGAGAUAUAGGGAGCAAAAGAAGGACUUGCAUAUGGUGUUCAUUGACUUGGAGAAGGCCUAUGAUAAGAUACCGCAGAAUGGCAUGUGGUGGGCCUUGGAGAAACACAAAGUCCCAGCAAAGUACAUUACCCUCAUCAAGGACAUGUAUGAUAAUGUUUUGACAAGUGUUCGAACAAGUGAUGUCGACACUGACGACUUCCUGAUUAAAGAUAGGACUGCAUCAGGGGGAUAUACACGGAGAUAUCCCAUGGUGUAUGCUCUUUGCGGAUGA